AAGCUGUACAGUAAGCACAUAGCGAACUAUUCUUUCGCCUUUUACUAAAGAAUACCACUUGUUUGUUGCAAUUAAGCGGCAUUAUCCUAUUUUUGAAAACGAUCUUUUCAUUUUU